UUGCCGUAGGUGAACCUUCGGCAGGAUCAUUAACACUGAUCUACUAUUCAAACCCGCGGCGAGCAGGCAGCGACGUGCGCUCUCGAGCGCACGCACGCACCUGCUCGCCGCACUUUCUUUUCUUACGUAAAACCACACGUGGGCGCGCGCGCGCGCGCGGCGUUGCUGUUUGCGCCGUCGUCGCCGCCGCCACACGGCAGUGCUUUACCAGUACCUACAUGUGCGUGUGUGUGCGCGUGCGCAGUUCGUCGCCGCGACAACGCAGCUGGCGUCUGCCCCGCCACACCACCACUUUAAUACACAAAACAACUCUUAACAAUGGAUACCUUGGCUCUU
rnacentral:misc_RNA from 1 species